rnacentral:rRNA from 1 species
CGGAAAGNGUUGGGGAGCCAAACAGGGAUUNAGANUACCCCCUGGGUAGGUCCANCGCCGUAAAACGGAUGGAAUGNCCAGCGUUUNGGGUGCUUGCNACCCGCAGUAGNNGCAGNUAACGCUUUGAGCAUUCCGCCUGGGGNGUACGGUCGCAAGAUUAAAACUCNAAAGGGAAUUUGACGGGGNCCCGCACAAGCGGUGGAGCAUGUGGGUUUAAUUCGNAGCAACGCGCAGAACCUUACCAUCCUUUGACAUGGCGUGUUACCCAGAGAGAUUUGGGGUCCCCUUCGGGGGCGCGCACACAGGUGCUGCAUGGCUGUCGUCAGCUCGUGUCGUGAGAUGUUGGGUUAAGUCCCGCAACGAGCGCAACCCACGUCCUUAGUUGCCAUCAUUCAGUUGGGCACUCUAGGGAGACUGCCGGUGAUAAGCCGCGAGGAAGGUGUGGAUGACGUCAAGUCCUCAUGGCCCUUACGGGAUGGGNUACACACGUGCUACAAUGGCGGUGACAGUGGGACGCGAAGGAGCGAUCUGGAGCAAAUCCCCAAAAGCCGUCUCAGUUCGGAUUGCACUCUGCAACUCGAGUGCAUGAAGGCGGAAUCGCUAGUAAUCGUGGAUCAGCAUGCCACGGUGAAUACGUUCCCGGGCCUUGUACACACCGCCCGUCACACCAUGGGAGUUGGUCUUACCCGACGGCGCUGCAAAUAUACCGCUAGNCGUGUUCACGACC